AAUCGAGAAAACUCGUUUUAGGCGAUAAAAGCCAUAGAACGAUUAUUCUCGAGACGAGAAUCGCUUCUCGAAGGAUAAAGUCGAACUAUCGAUUCGAUCAAUUUAUCGUUCGUGCAGUGGUGCAAUAGCGUGCAAUUCCGACGAAAAGAGUGCUUUUUAUUGGCAGCGCUGCUCACAAGCAGCACGUGUACGGAAUCUAUUCGCAUUGCCUUUACAACCGCCGUAAACAAAUUGGCUACACGUCUGACGCCCGGCGUCAUAAUACCAGCGUAACACAGAGCCCGGACAAGGGCCGGGAUCUUUCUCCAACCGGCACACGUCUGUCAGUUUUACUGUAAAUAGCAGAAAAACGAGCGUGAUACGUGCGGAUGUCGAAUGAAAGAAUUGGAAUGGAUGAACAUACCUCGUCUUCUUCCUGGUUGCAGGCAUUGUUGAUGACAAGCGAUUUCCGUUGGGAAAUUAUUAUCAUUUCCUUUGCAUCCACCGUACAGGAAUUGUUCGCAAACUUGUGAUUCUGCGUUGAAGUACCACCUGGUAAAGUUGCCCUCGCAGGGACCUGAUUCUUUCGUUUGGUCGCAAGGAUCUUAUGAAAUAAAAUA